AUUGAACGCUGGCGGCAUGCUUUACACAUGCAAGUCGGACGGUAACAGGCCGCAAGGUGCUGACGAGUGGCGAACGGGUGAGUAAUGCAUCGGAACGUGCCCAGUCGUGGGGGAUAACGCAGCGAAAGCUGCGCUAAUACCGCAUACGAUCUAUGGAUGAAAGCGGGGGACCGAAAGGCCUCGCGCGAUUGGAGCGGCCGAUGUCAGAUUAGGUAGUUGGUGGGGUAAAGGCUCACCAAGCCAACGAUCUGUAGCUGGUCUGAGAGGACGACCAGCCACACUGGGACUGAGACACGGCCCAGACUCCUACGGGAGGCAGCAGUGGGGAAUUUUGGACAAUGGGCGCAAGCCUGAUCCAGCAAUGCCGCGUGCAGGAAGAAGGCCUUCGGGUUGUAAACUGCUUUUGUACGGAACGAAACGGCUCUGGUUAAUACCUGGGGCUAAUGACGGUACCGUAAGAAUAAGCACCGGCUAACUACGUGCCAGCAGCCGCAGUAACAC
rnacentral:rRNA from 1 species